rnacentral:rRNA from 1 species
UGCAUAUCAAAAAGCGGAGGAAAAGAAACCAACAGGGUAUGCCUUAGUACGGCGAGUGAGCGGCAAAAGCUCAAAUUUGAAAUCUGGCACCUUCGGUGUCCGAGUUGUAAUUUGAAGAAGGUAACUUUGGAGUUAGCUCUUGUCUAUGUUCCUUGGAACAGGACGUCACAGAGGGUGAGAAUCCCGUGCGAUGAGAUGUCUAACUCUAUGUAAAGUGCUUUCGAAGAGUCGAGUUGUUUGGGAAUGCAGCUCUAAGUGGGUGGUAAAUUCCAUCUAAAGCUAAAUAUUGGCGAGAGACCGAUAGCGAACAAGUACAGUGAUGGAAAGAUGAAAAGAACUUUGAAAAGAGAGUGAAAAAGUACGUGAAAUUGUUGAAAGGGAAGGGUUUGAGAUCAGACUUGGUAUUUUGUAUGUCUUGCUUUCGGGUGGGGCCUCUGCAGUUUACUGGGCCAGCAUCGGUUUGGAUGGUAGGAUAAUGACAUUGGAAUGUGGCACUACUUCGGUGGUGUGUUAUAGACUUUGUUGAUACUGCCUGUCUAGACCGAGGACUGCGUCUUUGACUAGGAUGCUGGCAUAAUGAUCCUAAACCGCCCGUCUUGAAACCACGGACCA